rnacentral:rRNA from 1 species
UACGUAGGGGGCAAGCGUUGUCCGGAAUCAUUGGGCGUAAAGCGCGUGUAGGCGGCCUUGUAAGUCCGUUCUGAAAGCCCGGGGCUCAACCCCGGGAGGCGGAUGGAUACUGCAAGGCUCGAGUCCGGAAGAGGCAAGUGGAAUUCCCGGUGUAGCGGUGAAAUGCGCAGAUAUCGGGAGGAACACCAAUGGCGAAGGCAGCUUGCUGGGACGGUACUGACGCUGAUGCGCGAAAGCGUGGGGAGCAAACGGG